GAUCGGGAGCUAUUAACAGUUUAAUUGAUACACUAUUAUGAAAAAGUGAGUUAAUGAUUUUUGGAAGGAGUGGAGACUGGGUGAGUGUCUAACGGAGAAGGGAAGGGAGUUCCACAGGAACAGUGCAGCCCUAGAGAAGUCUUGAAGGCGAGCAUUACAGGGGGAAGUACGAACAGAGGAUAGAUGUAGGUAUCCAGCAGAGCGCAAGGGCCUAGAUGGGACAUACUUCUGUAUUAGGGAGGAUAGAUAGGUGGGAGCAGCAAUAUGUAGAGAUUUGAAAGCAAGAACCAGAAUUUGAAAUUGAACCCUGUAUCUUAUGGGAAGCCAAUGCAGAAACUGACAGAGGGGUAAGGCAUUAGAAGUGCAGGCGGGCAGUAAGAUGAGCCUCACUGCCGUAUUCAUUACAUAUUUUAACAGUGCAAGUUGCCGGGACGUAAGACCACUGAGAAGUGGAUUGCUGUAGUCAAGAC